rnacentral:misc_RNA from 1 species
UCUGGAAGAGGUCGUAUGCCAC